rnacentral:hammerhead_ribozyme from 1 species
GCACAGCUGACAAGUCCCAAACAGGACGAAACAGCUGUCUAGUGC